CAAAGGGUACACCGCAAGGGCGGAGGCGGAAGUUAGAUACGCGCGCUAUCUAGCGCGAGAGAGGAGGGAGCGUUGGAGGAACCGGAUGAAGACCAGUUUCAUUGUGAUUAUGCUCAUCGUGAUGACCUCAGCUCUCUUCUAUGUGAUGGUAGUUUAGAUGGUCGAUAUCGACUUGUAAUGUGAAGACAAACUCGCUACUCGCGGUCUCGAGACUUGUAAUGUUCUAACUUUGUUCGGUAUUUUAAAUUCGGAGACUAAUAUGAUGAAUUGUUUUCGGAGACUAAUCUUCUAUUGUAUUCGAUAAAUCUGUUGUUUAUAUGUUGUGCUCUUUAUAUUCU
rnacentral:lncRNA from 1 species